AACGAACGCUGGCGGCAUGCCUAACACAUGCAAGUCGAACGGUAACGCGGGGGCAACCCUGGCGACGAGUGGCGGACGGGUGAGUAAUGCCUAGGAAUCUGCCCAUUUAGUGGGGGACAACCCGGGGAAACUCGGGCUAAUACCGCAUACGUCCUACGGGAGAAAGCGGGGGGAACCGCAAGGGCCUUCGCGCUGAUGGAUGAGCCUAAGUCCAAUUAGCUAGUUGGUAGGGUAACGGCCUACCAAGGCGACGAUCGGUAGCUGGCUGAGAGGAUGAUCAGCCACACUGGGACUGAGACACGGCCCAGACUCCUACGGGAGGCAGCAGUGGGGAAUAUUGGAC
rnacentral:rRNA from 1 species